GAUGAAGACGUAGUGAAAUGCGAUAAGUAAUGUGAAUUGCAGAAUUCAGUGAAUCAUCGAAUCUUUGAACGCACAUUGCGCCCGCCAGCACUCUGGCGGGCAUGCCUGUUCGAGCGUCAUUUCAACCAUCAAGCCCCCAGGGGCUUGUGCUGGGGCCCUGCGGCUGCCCGCAGGCCCUGAAAACCAGUGGCGGGCUCGCUAGUCACACCGAGCGCAGUAGCACAUCUCGCUCAGGGCGUGCGGCGGGCUCCUGCCGUGAAACCCCCCACUGUAACCCCAAAGGUUGACCUCGGAUCAGGUAGGAAUACCCGCUGAACUUAAGCAUAUCAAUAAGCGGAGGA
rnacentral:misc_RNA from 1 species